rnacentral:lncRNA from 1 species
AACGAAGCGUGGUCUCUGUGGUUUUGAUUGUUGCAAACUCGAAACCGAAUUACAAGGUUUCGUUGCUGUUUAAAAUUCCCAGUCUCUUUGAAUAUUAAAUGGUUUUUUUCAGUGUCUAAAAAAGCCAUUCCUAUCAGUAAGGAAAUUUCUUAUGAAUUUACCACCAAUUGUUACCUUGUGCUGGCUCCACCUCAAAGCAAUAUACUACGGAACGCCGUUUGACCAACUUUUUUUAGUCAACUCUACUUCGAUGGUUGUCCGUUUAUUUUGCAAAUAAAUAGAUAACUUGCGUAGCCAUCUAGUGGUCAAAAUCGUCACUUGAAGGAGGGAUUUGAAUAGAUGACGCCUUUAACGGAGGAGGAGUCUACCUAACUAUUGUUGAUCGAUUGUUAGGUCGAUUUCGAUCGCCAUUGUACAGUUAAUGGCGUCGCGCAUUGGAAGUAUAUGCGUGUGUGAGUUUCGAUGGGCGUUGCACACCUUGGAGGCCUCGUUGGUUAUCAUAUUGAUAAUAAAGAUUCGCCAGUUGAAGAAACGUGUGCACAGUGUUUGUGCUUGGCUUCCUCGAGAGGAAAUUGCAGAACAAAGCCAUACAGUAUGGUGUCCUUCAACAAUGUCCAACCAUGGAAUGAGUCACAUGUGACUGAGACAAACAAAUGAUGCUUUUGCAUUUUGAAUAAUUAAAUUUUUAUAAUUGUAUUUCAUACAAGCUUGCGGCCUGCGUCAGCCAAUAGGGUCCAGUAAUCACAUGGUCCGCUUUGACUGUGUAGUGUAACCUACAUCCUUCCUAACUGAAAAUGUUUGGCUAUGUUAUAGCUUCAACAGUAUGAACAAUUUUGUUAAUUUAUUUUCAUUUUUAUUGUUUUGGUUUUCUUUUCAGGUUUGGAACAAAUUGUUGUGUGGAGGUCAAGCUUCAAUUUGGGAUGUGAUUUGUCAACUGUUGGUUGAGAUGGCAAAAGAGAAUGGAUUGGAUCAAAAUUUUGUUCCGCACUCAUCUUUGGAAUCCUGUUGUGCUCAUAGUUGUAGCGGAACAUUCUCGUCUUUUCAGGUCAAAAAUAACGUAUGAGAAAUCUAUUAUCCACAUGAAAUGUGGGGCCUGUUCUGGGUCACCGUUUUUUUCCCUGUGCGUCCGAAAUUUUCACCCUUCCAGAGAUUAUUGUCCGCGUCCGAGAAAGUUGUACGACGAUGAUACCUGAAUCGCUUGCUUAACUGACAAAAAAUUACGAGCUAAUGAC